GUGUGUGUAAAGCGUAGUGGUUUGAGCAUUAGACUGGGACUCUGGAGAUCAGGGUUCAAUUCCCUACUUGGCCA